UGAGCUUAGAGUGACAUACACCCUGUUCCCUUAAAUAUACUACUGGUAGUCAUGUGCUCACUAUCUCUGCCUUACUCUUGAUUCCUGCCUCCAGUGAACCCAGGAUGAAGGACUGUUCCGACUCAUCAGACUCAUUAUGCCUUCUUUGCCCUGGAUCUUACACAGAAAUGCUCUCCACACCUUGCCACUGCUGCUGGGAAGGAACAGGGGAGGAGUGACAUUGAGAUUCAAGACUAUUUUUCCUACCUCUUCAGUGCCUCUUUCAGCCAUAUGAAGUUAAAACCAGGUCUCAUUCUGUCACUGAGGCUGGAGUGCAGUAGCACAAUCUCAGCUCACUGCAGCCUCGACCUUCAAGGCUCAAUCAAUUCUUCCACCUCAGCUUCCUGAAUAGCUGGGACUACAGGUGUGCACCACCAGGCCUGGAUAAUAUUCACAUUUUUUUUUUUAGAGACAGAUGACAUGGUUUGGAUUUGUAUCCCCAUGAAAAUCUCAUGUUGAAUUAUAAUCCCCAGUGUUGUAGGUAGAACCUGGUGGGAGGUAAUUGGAUUAUGGGAGUGGAUACUUCAUGAAUGGGUCAGCACCAUGCCCUUGGUACUAUUCUAGUGAUAGUGUUCUCAUGAGAUCCGGUUGUUUAAAACUGUGUAGCACCUCCCCCCACUUCUUCCUGCUUCUAACAGUGAGAUGCACCUGCUCCCACUUUGCCUUCUGCUAUGAGUAAAAGCUCCCUGAGGUCUCCCCAGAAGCAGAAGCUGCUAUGGCUUCCUGUACAGCCUGUGGAAUCAUGAGCCAAUUAAACAUCUUUUCUUUAUAAA